rnacentral:rRNA from 1 species
UACAGACGGUCCAAACGUUAUUCGGAAUCACUGGGCUUAAAGAGUUCGUAGGCGGUCCAGAAAGUGGGGUGUGAAAGCCCUCGGCUUAACCGAGGAAUUGCGCUCCAAACUACUGGACUUGAGGAGGCUAGAGGUAAGCGGAACUGAUGGUGGAGCGGUGAAAUGCGUUGAUAUCAUCAGGAACACCGGAGGCGAAGGCGGCUUACUGGGGCGUAUCUGACGCUGAGGAACGAAAGCCAGGGGAGCGAACGGG